rnacentral:lncRNA from 10 species
GUGGUUGAGAGACCGCAAGAUGGUUCCUCGUCUUUCACUUCCCUCCGUCCCAGGUCUGAACUCGGACCAGCUGGAGCCUUUGGGGGACCACGGAUUCCCCUUUACACUCACACAGAUUUCUCUUGUCCGUCACUCACUCACAGUCCAGUAAGGAUCCUGCUGUCUAUUCCGCGAAGACAUCUUGAAUGCAGGGACAGCCAUUUGGAAGACUGUCCUCGAGGGUGGCAGCAGCCUCUCAGGACGGGGAAAGCCAAGGUCCCCACCCAGCAGGAGGAGGUCCGAGGAUCUGCGCGACGCUGGCCCCGCGGAGUGUGGGGGACUUUUCCUCUCAACCACCAGUGCCCCGCAAGCGUGGGUGAACAGUCCUCCCUGGCUACUGUGGG